GGGGACACGUGACUGCGCGUGCACAGAUGUCAGGGAGGAGAAGGAAGUGUUUGUGUCUUGGUCACUGGAGCUCUGUGUCACUGUGUGUUUCAGGCCGUGUGCCAUGACCUCCUCCACGGCUGCAGGAGGAAAUGCCCAGCGAGGGAAGGCUCUUCCUGCACAGGGAUCUGCUGCCUUUCCAGGUCUGCUGCAACCCUCCAAAGCCUGCUGGAAGCCACGUCUCUGUCAGGGGGGGAUGUUUGAGCAGGAGCCUCGUCCCUACCUGUGACCCCCUGGCGAGGCAGAACCAGGACCCACCUGCAAAAGUGUGAAACUCUUCAAAGGGGCUCAUGCAACAGUGCAGGAGCUGAGCCUGGCCACAACAGCUGGGUUUUGCCCCAGUAGUGUUGGAUUCUGCUGUGAUUGCCCCAGAGUGAAACCAGGACACGUGUGUGUGCUCGCUGAGCUUCGUGUGGAGGUGGGAUGUUCCCUGAUGAGAAGACAAACCUGCAGGAUCCAGGAACUGGAACUGAAUCGGGUGAUAAAAGCAAAUUGAAACUGGUUGUUGACAGAAAUGACUGACUUCUGGAGUCACAAGUGAAGCUUUACGUGAUGAUUUACAACAAAAUAAGACACCAGGCUGAUAUGUGCAAAACCACUUCAAAAAACCCCUCGAAGACUGUGGAAAAAGAAACGUCAAAGUGAAAGAAGGGAACUGAGAGCACAAACAGCAAGACAGACCUGAAGCAGGAUCUGGGCUUUCAGAUUCAAGUGCCUGAUCCCAUUUGGCCAUCAGAUCCUGCUGGGAGAGGUUUGCCAGCCUCUGUCAGUAACACUCUGAGCACAGGGGGGAUUCCAAACCCAGGGAUCCAAGCCCUGGAUUCAAAGUCUCGAGCAGGUGUUGCAACUCCUCAAAGGCACAAACAUGGCUGUGACAGUCCAGGAUGAAACUGGAGCUUGCCUGGGAGAACAUGUGGAAUUCCUGAACCCCCACUUCUGCAGUGUGGCACCCACAGUUUGUAUCCAGGUGCCUGGAGAGCUCAAAGCUGCAGCAUAAUCCUCUCUUGUGAGCAGCGUCUGCAGCUCAUUUGGCUCCAGGCAGAGCAACUUGGCAAGACUUGUCCAGGUGAUGCACAGGU